rnacentral:lncRNA from 1 species
AGAUGGAGACCAUCCUGGCUAACACGGAAAUUGUGUAACUCUGGAAUUUUAGAGGUGACUGCGUGACAAUUCUGAGAGGCCAAUGCCAAUGAGAGAAAAGUUUACUGCUACUCAUGAUGGCGCCCCUGGAAGCAGAAGACACAGCACGCUAUAGAGGGCCAUGUGGGAAAGCACUGGAGUAGCUCCAGGCCGGGCUUGCCAGUCUCUCUGCACUCUGGAAGGAGUUUGCCUGGGUUGGGGUUGUCCCUUGGUAGAUUCCAAACCUUCAUUUUGUCAAUUUACUUAAAGGUGACUGGGUUUAAAGGGGCUGACUGAUUGUAAAUAACUUGGAGAAUAAAUCAAUAUUCAUUAAUAAAGUUAAAUAAUUCACGUAAAAUUAAAGUAUAAUAGGCAUAAUUU